rnacentral:rRNA from 1 species
CCUACGUGAGGCAGCAGUGGGGAAUAUUGGACAAUGGGCGAAAGCCUGAUCCAGCCAUGCCGCGUGUGUGAAGAAGGCCUUCGGGUUGUAAAGCACUUUCAGUGGGGAAGAAAGCCUUGGGGCUAAUACCCUCGAGGAAGGACAUCACCCACAGAAGAAGCACCGGCUAACUCCGUGCCAGCAGCCGCGGUAAUACGGAGGGUGCGAGCGUUAAUCGGAAUUACUGGGCGUAAAGCGCGCGUAGGCGGUCUGAUAAGCCGGCUGUGAAAGCCCCGGGCUCAACCUGGGAACGGCAUCCGGAACUGUCAGGCUAGAGUGCAGGAGAGGAAGGUAGAAUUCCCGGUGUAGCGGUGAAAUGCGUAGAGAUCGGGAGGAAUACCAGUGGCGAAGGCGGCCUUCUGGACUGACACUGACGCUGAGGUGCGAAAGCGUGGGUAGCAAACAGGAUUAGAUACCCCAGUAGUC